CACACUUGCCUUUCUUUAUCUCUGCUCUUGCAGCCUUUUCUGCUCUCAAUUCCUCCCUUCCUCUUUCCCACACUUCCCUUUUCCUUGCAUCAAAGACAUAGGAUCUGAAACCUGGAAUCUCGCAACACUCCCUUCUCCACAACUCACUCCACUGCAGCUUACUCAAGGCUGUGAGAAAGCAAACAUUCCAGAAACCUCAGAGACGGGCUGUGAACAAAAUGAUGAACAAAACUCCCUCUUUGGCUCCCAGAAAGCAGCCAGUUCUCAUUUGGGCCUUCAAACACAACAGAACUGCAAGAGCACGAGAUGGG